rnacentral:lncRNA from 1 species
CAAAAAGGCUGCAAGAAGGGUGUUGGAGGGUCUCCUGGAGGCUGCCAAGGGCAUUUUCUCAUGGAGCCCACGUCUCUCCCCGAUCCUGGUGGCUGUGAUCGGUAAUUCCAGCUUCAUACUGGCUACAGGUGGAUGAUGCCCACCUGGCUGCCGAUGACUUCUGCACCAAGUGAGGCUGGGUCUCUGGAGCUGCCCCAGGGGCUGGACAAGCUGACCCUGCCUGGAGCCAAGCUGGAGAUGCAGCCUGAGAACCUCAAGGAGGACGUGGUCUACCUGAAGAAGAACCAUGAGGAGGAAAUGAACGCCCUUUGAGGUCAGGUGGACGAGGAUGUCAGUGUGAAGAUGGACACUGUGCCUGGAGUGAACCUGAGCUGCAUCCUGAAUGAGAUGUGUGACCAGGACAAGAAACUGGUGGAGAAGAGCUGCAAGGAUGCCCAGGGUUGGUUGUUCAGCGUGGUGGGUGGCCGUGUGUAAGCAGGUGUGCACACGUGUGGGCACAUAUGCUGUGUGCUGGUGCAGCUGGCAGAUUCACAGGCUGUCCCAGUUGGAAGGACUUUUGGAAACCAGUCGGACCAGCCCUUCAUGUCUUCGACGUAAAAUAGAGAGGGGCUGA